rnacentral:misc_RNA from 1 species
GGCGAAGUCAUUUGGCAAGAAGCUAGCUAAUUUGAAGACUCACAAAGUCCCAGACUUGGUCUUCUCUCUGCGACUCUCUGUAAAUUUUCUAUAUACUAAACCCUCCUACUCUUGCAAACAUGUCUUGGAUAUCCAACAUUUCCACGCCGACACAGCAAGUGACUCAAGGUCUCUUCUCUGCUACGAAACUACUGGAGUCAGAUGAUGCUGCAAUAAUUAAGAAGGUUCAAAAGACCCACAAACCUCAUGGUCGCCAAGUUGAUAACCUUGGCGAUUUAUUCAGCAUCAUUGGCAAAAUCUUGCUUCAUGAAAAUCGCAAAAGUGAUGAUGAUGUUCCAAAUGAAAAAUCAGUAGCGCUUGAAGUACCAGCUUACCUCAUAAACAAAAUCUGCUGCAAGUUAGCAUGCAAUUGCACAGAUAGAGAUGCGCAAGAAACAACUAUGACGAUUCUCGAAAAAGAACUUCAAAAUUAUCUUUGGGAUGAAAAGCUGGUUAUUAUGGCAGCUGCUUUUGCAGUGAAUUAUGGUGAAUUUUAUCUGCUUACUCAGCUUGACACUCCAGAUCCAGUUGCCAAGAAUAUGGCUUUCCUUAAGCAGCUACAAUUCAUCAAGGAAAUUGGCAGUGCAUCCCAAAAUCUCCCUGGAACAAUUAAUGAGCUUAUCUACGCCAUAAUGACUGUAAUCAAAUGUGUUCUCCAGUUCAGUGAUCUAGAUCCUAAGUAUUUUGAAGCUGAAAAGCAACCAUCUGCCAUUACUGAAAUCGCCAGAGCUACCUAUUGGACAAUUUAUAGUGUUGUGACCUGCGGCUCUUAUAUUGCUGCCUUUGUUGGGUUGAGAAAUCAGCACACCAUGGCAAAAAUGGCUUCGCAACUAACAAAGCUGGCUUCUAAAGUCAGCAGAAUGCAGAAAGUCCUGCAAGAGCAAUUUUCGCAUUGCAAGCAUGAAAUUGAAACUUACAACUCGCUCAUCAAUCGUUUCAACUCAUACCAAGACCAUACGGCUAUCCUCAGCGAUUUGUUUGACGUCGAGAGAGGGAAGCCACCCCUUGUGGUAGGCAAUAACACCAAGAAAGAGGUCGAUAUCAGUUCACUAAAGGGCACCAACGUGUUGCUGCUCAUAUCUAGUCUUGACGUCUGGGAUGUGGAGAUGAAGGCUCUUGCUAAAUUGUACCUAGAACUGCAAACGAAGGAGCACAAUCGAUAUCAAAUAGUGUGGCUUCCAAUUGUGGACGAGUUCAAUGAACACAAGUUUUCGUCAUUGCAAUCCCUGAUGCCUUGGUACACUGUGCGAAAUCCUAAAAUCCUCAGACCAGGGUUCAUUAGAUACAUCAGGGAGGUAUGGAAGUUCACAAAUGAGACAAGUCUGGUGCCACUGGAUCAAAAAGGAAGCGCAAAAUCCCCUACCCCUUAUACUCUUGACUCUCUGUGGAUAUCAGGAAAUUUGCCAGGCCUAUUCACUGAUAAUGGAAAGAAAUCACCAUGGGAUCAGAAUCUGCACUUGACCCUGGAUCUGCUUCUCCGAGGAAUUUAUACAGUUGAUUCGUCGAAACCAGGUUCAAUCAUAUGCCUUUACGGAGGAGAAGACAUCAAGUGGAUCGAGGACUUCACCACUAUGAUAAAUCGGGUUAAGGAUUUCACUAGGACAAGCAUAGAUUUGAUUUAUGUGAGCAAGAGCAAUGCCAUAGAUCAUUACAACAAUGCCAUUUUCGAUUUCAUCACGGCAAAGAAGGUUGGUGGAUACUGGAAAGCUGAUGAAACACACAGUUGGCACUUUUGGACCCGAUUGGAAAGCAUCUUUUCUUGGGGGAUACGAGAUGGCAAGAAUGCUAAAGAAAACGAUACCAUGAAAGAUGUCAUGUCUUUACUAAGCUUCAAUGGCAGCUACAAGGGAUGGGCUGUGUUUGGUCAAUUUGGAUCAUCUCAUAAAGUGGCCAAAGCCACAGGAGAAGUCAUUAUGGAUGUGUUGUUAAAGAUAAGUAACUGGUGGAAAGCUGGCACGAACGUUGAUUCUUUUGUGAUAGCACUCAACCAACAGAUCGAACAACAUCUUAAGGUCCAAAAACACCAUUGUUAUCACAUUGUCCUUCCCGCCACUUUUGCAAAGGUCCCAGAUGAGAUGAUGAUAUGCCCAAUUUGUGAUAGUAAAAUGGGCAAAUACCCGAUGUACCGUUGCUGCGAAUAGUGACCUAUGCAAGCCAAGUUUGUGCUUGUGUAUGUUGUAUGAUAAACCUUGGUGUGCUUUCAAGGAACUGUCAUAAUAAAACUUAAAGACUCUGUUAAGCCUC